GUAGAUUGGUGGUAUUUCACUCAAACCCUCCGUUUGACUCGAAACAAGUUCAGAUGGAAUCUAAUUCAUUAGUUGAAAAUCGUAAUAAUAUUUUAAGACAGUUAUGAAUUGCAAUUGAAAUACUGAAAGUUGUUUACUCGGAACAUAUAGUUCCUGACAUUUUCCACUUUACAAAGUCGAAGACCAUGACAUAUUUAAACUGCUCUUGUAACCUUAUGAUGGUAUCUACUUGGUCUGCGGUUUCAAAAUCCAUGUCCUUAUGUGUUUACUGCAGUUGGAGGGAAGACUGAAAAUAUACAAUAAGAUGUCGGCAAAGAACUGUCACUCCAAAACACAAGCAAUACCUGAUUGGUACACUGAAAAGCAUGAAGUCCAGACUGGUGAGAAUGAAGCGAAGUGACGUCACUGCACAUAACCAACAGCACCAAACAACACGUCACACGCACAAGUGAAAUUGGAAGACUGACGAGAAAAUCAAUGUAGUCAUUUCCUGUCGCCAUCAUCAUCAUCACAUUAGUACAACACAAUGCCGCAGAUUGUUAAAUCCAUACAAAAUGGCGGUUUACGAGAUGCCAAAAAAGCUAUUUUCAACAAUCUCCAGUUUGACUCUUUGAACCUCGCCAUUUUGUGUUUGCUCAUAAAAAUAAGAUACAUUAAAACAAUAUUACGUCCUA